rnacentral:tRNA from 1 species
UCCCUAAAGGACUAGUGGUUAGGCCACAGCACUCUCGCCACUGCGGCCUGGGUUCAAUUCCCAGCCAGGGAA